AUGAGCAACACUGCCAGCAGCGCCGCCCUCCUCACCCCCUACAAGAUGGGAAGGUUCGAUCUUUCCCACAGGGUAGUUCUCGCACCACUGACAAGGGAGCGAUCCUUCGGAAAUGUUCCUCAGCCUCAUGCCAUACUGUAUUAUCAACAGAGAACAACCAAAGGAGGCCUUUUGAUUGCUGAGGCCACUGGAGUUUCAGACACUGCUCAAGGGUACAAAGACACUCCUGGCAUUUGGACAAAGGAGCAAGUAGAAGCAUGGAAACCGAUCGUGAAUGGGGUUCAUGCAGAAGGAGGAAUAUUUUUCUGUCAGAUUUGGCAUGUAGGAAGAGUCUCCAAUCACACUUUUCAGCCUAAUGGGCAGGCUCCAAUUUCGAGCACUGAUAAGCCACUCAAACCUGUAGUUAGAGCCAACGGCAUAGAUGUACCUACAAUCUCAACUCCUAGGCGGCUACAGACUAAUGAGAUUCCUUUGGUAAUCAACGAUUUUAGGGCUGCUGCUAGAAAUGCAAUUGAAGCCGGAUUUGAUGGUGUUGAAAUCCAUGGAGCUCAUGGUUAUUUGAUUGAUCAGUUCUUAAAGGACCAAGUCAAUGAUCGCACUGACAAAUAUGGUGGGAGCUUAGAGAAUCGCUGCCGCUUUGCAUUGGAAGUAGUUCAAGCUGUAGUCGAUGAAGUUGGAGCUGAUAAGGUUGGGAUAAGGCUCUCUCCGUUUGCGAACUAUUCAGAGGCAUCCGACUCAAACCCAGAAGCUCUAGGCCUAUACAUGGCACAUGCACUAAACAAAUUUGGAAUUCUCUAUUGUCACAUGGUGGAACCACGGAUGGUGAAUAUUGGUGAAAAGUUUGAAACUCCCCAUAGUCUUCGCCCCAUAAGGGAUGCUUUUAAGGGAACAUUUAUUGUAGCUGGGGGAUACGACAGGGAUGAUGGAAAUAAAGCAAUCGCCGACGGCUAUGCUGAUUUGGUAGCAUAUGGGCGCUUGUUUUUAUCCAAUCCUGACUUGCCUCGGAGGUUUGAAAUAGGUGCUCCUCUCAACAAGUACAUAAGAGAUACUUUCUACCUCUCUGAUCCAGUUAUUGGUUACACUGACUACCCAUUUCUGCCGUCCGAUGUCUAG
rnacentral:rRNA from 1 species